CAACCCUCAAGCUUAGCUUGGUCUUGGGCCAUGCCGGGAACGGCCGGCCUUAAAACUAGUGGCGGCGCCGCCGGGCUCUACGCGUAGUAGUUAUUUUCUCGCGUUUGGGUUUCGGUGGUCGCUGGCCAACAACCCCCAAUUUUUUAU
rnacentral:misc_RNA from 1 species